CCAAUAGCGUAUAUUAAAGUUGUUGCAGUUAAAAAGCUCGUAGUUGAAUUUCGAGAUCAAAUUGUCGGUCGUGCCUCGGUACGUACUGGCAUUAUUGAUUUCUCCUUUCUGAAGAACCAUGAUGUCAUUAAUUUGGUGUCUUGGGGAAUCAGGACUGUUACUUUGAAAAAAUUAGAGUGUUUAAAGCAGGCUCACGCUUGAAUACAUUAGCAUGGAAUAA
rnacentral:rRNA from 1 species